rnacentral:lncRNA from 1 species
UGGACGAAUCAAUGAAUGAUUUCCGGGUAUUAGCUUGGCUAGCCAUGGAAGCGAAAUCUGACGCCGAUGAACUCCCCCCACCGAUUGCAAGGAGUGUUUUAAUGGAAGGAUUUUUCAGUUGGACAGUCUCAGUGAAGGUGGAGAAUCGGGCCUGGUUUGCCGAGGAAACGGUGACUUGGUUGGUUUGAGAAUCAAGAUCAGCAAAUGCACAAAAAAGAUGAGUGAAAAGUGUGGAAUCUAUGUCGGGAACUGGAAAUCCACUGUCUGCAGACCAAUAGGCAGCUCUAACAACAUUCUGACCGGCGGAGAAGUUAAGCUGAAGCAGAGAGUGCGAACAGAAAAGCAAGAGGCUAAGAAGCUUUGCAGCCAUUGUUGAGUUCCAAAUGCAGCUUUGAAUGGUAUAAUAAAUAUAGCAAUGACCAACAGUGAUUGAAGAAGCACCUAAUACAUGACACUGACCAACUUGCGUAGCCGGUAAAAAAUAUCCAACACUAGAAAAUUAAUCAUACAUUAUUAAUUGGUCAAAUUAUACAACAUAUAGCACUCAUCAAAUUUCAUUCUUUUACUCCAUGAAAAUUUAUUUUCUUUAUAUGAAAUGAGGAUAUUGAUAUCCCAUUUCUUCUAUGUUAUAUAAUAUAUAUGAAUUAUAAUUCACAUAUUAUUUGUUUGGAAUACUUAGAAAUUCCAUUUUUUUCAUUAAAAAAAAUUAAAAUUUUCAACAAUUUUUUUAAAAAAAAAUUCACAGGGUUUAUUUUAUUCAUUUAUUUUGAGUUUGCUUAAUGAUAAAUUGAAUUAGUGAAACUUAUUCAAGAAUAUUUUAUAUAAUUGAUGAGUAUUUUAUUUUUAUUUUGUAUGUUAAAAUUUACAUAGGGUGAUAUUUGAAACCAUGCCACCAAUAUUUUUUUUUCUUUACCACUUAAACAAAAGUUUUAUUUUUAAGGAGUAUUUUACAUAGAGAUUUAGUUACUCUCAUUAUUUGAUAUUUUUAAAUAUAUUGUAUAUUAUUGUAUAUCUUUUAGACAUAUAUUUAAGAAUAUAUUAUAUAUCUUUCUUAUUCCUAUGUGACUACUUCUGUGUAAAUAUUAUGUAUACUAUCAAUAAAAUUGAAAUGGAUUACCCUAUUAUGUGACUAACAUGAACCAGUACUAAUAGAAAAACUGUACAUUCAUUCGAUACCAACUACCUUAAUUUGAAGAGUUGAGAAAACAUUGAAGAAUUUCUAGAUAAUUGAUCGGAAACCUUUGAACAUACCCACGAAUUACGGAAUGAUUUGUCAAAUUUGAUGGAAACUCUUUUCAAAAGAAGAUCCGAGUUUGAUGAGGGUUGAUCCCUAUCAAAGAGUUGGGAGAGUAGUCUCCUAGGGGAGUUAGGCCUUUGUGGGUUGAGUUGAGGUGUUCACUAAUUGCCGUUUCCUGGUUUAGACUUUUCUAUUUUUUAUUAAUUAAAUAUUAAAAUAAAUAAUAUUAUACAUUUAUUCUUUUUGGUACAAAUUACUAAUAGAGAAGGAAAAUGAAAAUCAUAAAAGGAGAUUAAGCUUGUCAACUAUAUUUAUUAAAUAAGUCACCAUCAUUCUUAUUGACAAGGAUCAUAUUAUUUCGUGACUUGUAAUAGUAUAACUGUAUAAAUAUCUUAGUUACUCGCAAUUGGCAUCUACGAUCCCCAAGUUUCCGAUGCUGCCACAUGAAAAAGAAACCCAUUAAAAUGUUAUAAGUUAAUCAAACAAAUUGCUAUGGCUAAAAAGAAUGGUUUAGACCAUUCAGAUUGAGAAUAUAUGGGUAUUAAACCAUUCACUGACCUGCUCGAGAAAGAGUCCAACCAUCAUCAGCGCCAACAUGCCAUGCGAAGUAACCAAGCAACCCUUUUUGUUUACAAUAAGAAACCUUGGCUGUAAUGCUUUCUGUAUCAUCAAAACCAAUCCAGGUCGUCCCAGCGUAGCAAUAAUUCGAAACCACCGUCGCAUUGUAUACCUCAGUGGCGCUGUUGGCCGAAAUAAAAUCCUUGAUCUGACCGUAACCCAAGUCUCCAUUUGGCGUUAUAGCCGGUCCACUAGUCGGUGCAAAAAACCCAUGGUUAUUUGCAUCCACAAGCUGCCAUGCAUAGCCGUAAAAAGGGAAGCCGAGAACUAAUUUAUUCGAUGGAAUACCUGAUUGUAUCCAUGAAGUGAUCCCAUAAUCACCACUAACUUGAGUUCCGGGAUUGUAUAACGCUGCUGGAGGUCCGGUUACAGUUGACCAUCCAGGGCCGUAAAAAUCAUAAGCCAUUACGUUGAUCCAGUCCAGGCUAUUCUGUAUUGCCUGGAUUGGAUAAUCCAGAGUAUAAUAAUCCGAGUUGCGGAAAAAUGCUGCCGACAAAAGUAAUCUUGAGUUGCCAGUAUUGGCGGCUUCAUUAACCAAAGCAACUCUCCAUUCGUUUAGAAGUAAACCCAAGUUGUUCAUUUCAGUAGGUGUUGAUGGGUACUCCCAAUCAAGGUCAAGGCCAUGGAAGCCGUAAGAUCUAGCUAUAUUUAUGGAGGAAUCGAUGAAUGAUUUCCGGGUAUUAGCUUGGCUAGCCAUGGAAGCGAAAUCUGAUGCCGAUGAACUUCCCCCACCGAUUGAAAGGAGUGUUUUAAUGUAAGGAUUUUUCAGUUGGACAGUCUCAGUGAAGGUGGAGAAUCGGGCCUGGUUUGCCGAGGAAACCGUGACUUGGUUGGUUUGAGAAUCAAGAUCAGCAAAUGCGCAGAAAAGGUGAGUGAAAAGCGUGGAGUCUAUAUCGGAAACGGGAAAUUCACUGCCUGCCGACCAAUAAGCAGC